GAUGAACGCUGGCGGCGUGCUUAACACAUGCAAGUCGAACGGAAAGGCUCCUGCUUGUAGGGGUACUCGAGUGGCGAACGGGUGAGUAACACGUGGGUGAUCUGCCCUGCACUUCGGGAUAAGCCUGGGAAACUGGGUCUAAUACCGGAUAGGACGAUGGUUUGGAUGCCAUUGUGGAAAGUUUUUUCGGUGUGGGAUGAGCUCGCGGCCUAUCAGCUUGUUGGUGGGGUAAUGGCCUACCAAGGCGUCGACGGGUAGCCGGCCUGAGAGGGUGUACGGCCACAUUGGGACUGAGAUACGGCCCAGACUCCUACGGGAGGCAGCAGUGGGGAAUAUUGCACAAUGGGCGCAAGCCUGAUGCAGCGACGCCGCGUGGGGGAUGACGGCCUUCGGGUUGUAAACUCCUUUCGCUAGGGACGAAGCGCAAGUGACGGUACCUGGAGAAGAAGCACCGGCUAACUACGUG
rnacentral:rRNA from 1 species